rnacentral:lncRNA from 1 species
GUGAGGACGAGAGUUAAGCACCACCUUUAUAAUUUAUAAUACUAUCUGAAUUGUAUUUUUAAACAAUAUAGUUUCGAAAAUUUAAUUGUUUACACCACUAAAAUCUAGAAAUAAUGCAACUACUUUGUAAAGUAUUUUAUUAAUUUCAUGAUGAGAGUUGUGAGAGCUGGAAGUGAGAACGGCUUUCGCCUGGAGCAUCGAUUUUAUUAAAAUACGACAAUUAGAUGUGGUAGUAAUUUUGUCUAGCGCGAACUAAGUAUUGAACCCUCUGAAGCAACUAAUAGCACGUCCUAGCAAUAUUUUAUUUACAUAUUAAAGAUCUAAAAAAAAUAUUUAUUUCUCUUAUUUUAGUUAUUCAAUUAAUCAUAACCCUUUAAAUCAUUAGCCUUAGAUUUACAAAGCAACACUAGAAUACGGUAGGUCGAUUAUUGGUCCUUUGGGUUCGAUAUCUUUUAAAACUACACGACACGACUGUAUACUUGCAGUACCAUUGCGUUGUCACACGAUCAA